AUACUGAUGACGCGUCCCAAAUAAGACGAAAUGCGCAUCCUGGAU
rnacentral:hammerhead_ribozyme from 1 species